GCCGGGCGUGGUGGCACACACCCGUAAUCCCAGGGGCUCAGGGGGCUGAGACAGGAGGAUGGUGAGUUCAAAGGCAACCUCAGCAAUGGCAAGGCGCUUAGCAACUCAGUGAGACCCUGUCUCUA
rnacentral:sRNA from 1 species